UUGAGGGCGAUCUGGCUGCAACAUCUGUCACCCCAUUUAUCGUCAGAGUUGAUUCAGUUGAUGUAGCUGGCUAGGCGGGUGUCCCCUCCCUCCCUCCAGUGCUCCAGAAGCUGCAUACUCCAUUGAAGAGGAUGGCCAUCCCUGAUAGAGGAGGACUGGUCUUCGAUCAAGGGAUAUGAGUAGCUGCGCUCCCCUGCUAGAAUCUCCAAACAAGCUCUCAAGGUCCAAAUCUUAUGAUGAAGCUCCAUCUCUUUGUGCUUUUCAGAGCUUCAUGGUACUUACUUCAAUGUGCAAGUAUAUACCUGU
rnacentral:snRNA from 1 species